GACACUUUGGUAGGUGUACA
rnacentral:snRNA from 1 species